GUGUCAGCAGCCGCGGUAAUACGGAGGGAGCAAGCGUUGUUCGGAAUUACUGGGCGUAAAGGGCGCGUAGGCGGCAUCGCAAGUCAGAUGUGAAAACCACUGGCUCAACCGGUUGGAGUGCAUCUGAUACUGCCUUGCUUGAGUUCAGCAGAGGGGAGCGGAAUUCCCAGUGUAGCGGUGGAAUGCGUAGAUAUUGGGAAGAACACCGGUGGCGAAGGCGGCUCUCUGGACUGACACUGACGCUGAGGCGCGAAAGCUAGGGGAGCAAACAGGAUUAGAUACCCUGGUAGUCCUAGCCGUAAACGAUGGGUACUAGGUGUCGGGUGUUUCCAUACACACGGUGCCGAAGCUAACGCAUUAAGUACCCCGCCUGGGGAGUACGGCCGCAAGGUUGAAACUUAAAUGAAUUGACGGGG
rnacentral:rRNA from 1 species